UGGAAAAACAUCACUUAAAAUGCUUGUCUGUCACAAGUGAAAAUAAGAAGAGUUGUUUAUCAUUUUGAAAGAACUGCCCCUUAAAAUGAAACCUUGGAAGGGGUAUGGAUUUCCAUUUCUCUGAACAGCUGUUACUACUGCUGUUAAAGUAUUAGUUUUGCAACAUUUUUAUUUUUGUUUUUUGUUGUUCAUUACUGGGGAUUCAACCUGGUGUUUGCACAUGCUAGGCAAGUGCUUAACCACUGAGCUAUAUACCCAGCCCAAAGUAUUUUAUUUUUGAAAGGCUUAUAAGACUUUAUUUAAACUUUAAUUCUUUUCCCACGUUGAGGCUCUCAUAGUUUAGUAAACAGUUUGCCAAUAGACAUAUUGGAUACUGUAAUGGGAGAAGGUCAUCAUUCAUUCUGUGCCUGUCCAGUGACUUAAAC
rnacentral:lncRNA from 1 species